ACUCGAGUGGCGAACGGGUGAGUAACACGUGGGUGAUCUGCCCUGCACUUCGGGAUAAGCUUGGGAAACUGGGUCUAAUACCGGAUAGGAGCCACCUUUAGUGUGGUGGUUGGAAAGUUUUUCGGUGUAGGAUGAGCUCGCGGCCUAUCAGCUUGUUGGUGGGGUAAUGGCCUACCAAGGCGGCGACGGGUAGCCGGCCUGAGAGGGUGUACGGCCACAUUGGGACUGAGAUACGGCCCAG
rnacentral:rRNA from 1 species